rfam:Ornithorhynchus anatinus chromosome 4, whole genome shotgun sequence.
CGCCUCUCAGGGUCGCACCUGGGGAGUUUCCAGUACUCUUUCAGUCUCGGCUACAGGAGAGAGAGUCAAGCAGAGGCCUAGCCAAUCCAUUCCUAGCUUGGGCAAUGGCUAGUGAGUGGAAGGUAAUCUGCUACAAGU